rnacentral:rRNA from 3 species
AAACGAACGCUAAUACCGCAUACGUCCUACGGGAGAAAGCAGGGGACCUUCGGGCCUUGCGCUAUCAGAUGAGCCUAGGUCGGAUUAGCUAGUUGGUGGGGUAAUGGCUCACCAAGGCGACGAUCCGUAACUGGUCUGAGAGGAUGAUCAGUCACACUGGAACUGAGACACGGUCCAGACUCCUACGGGAGGCAGCAGUGGGGAAUAUUGGACAAUGGGCGAAAGCCUGAUCCAGCCAUGCCGCGUGUGUGAAGAAGGUCUUCGGAUUGUAAAGCACUUUAAGUUGGGAGGAAGGGCAGUUACCUAAUACGUGAUUGUUUUGACGUUACCGACAGAAUAAGCACCGGCUAACUCUGUGCCAGCAGCCGCGGUAAUACAGAGGGUGCAAGCGUUAAUCGGAAUUACUGGGCGUAAAGCGCGCGUAGGUGGUUCGUUAAGUUGGAUGUGAAAUCCCCGGGCUCAACCUGGGAACUGCAUUCAAAACUGUCGAGCUAGAGUAUGGUAGAGGGUGGUGGAAUUUCCUGUGUAGCGGUGAAAUGCGUAGAUAUAGGAAG